UCCCCUUUCCUCAGUCCUCUAUUAGCUACUCUUGUAAUUCUCUAGUGUCUGCCUAUAUUAAUUAGACCAGACAUAAAGACAAUGCAUUCAACCAUUGACUCUAUUAUAGUUACCAUUUUUUCUUUAAACCAGGUUUGCUUCUUGCCUCACACGGGUCAUUUCUCUGCUGACAUUUGCAGGGACCCCCUCCCUUCCAUCAUCAUCAUCGUCAUCGUCAUCGUCAUCGUCAUCAUCAUCACCAUCCACACUGGUGUGAGGCUUUCCAUUGGUGUAGCUGCGGCUUCUGUCACACAGGAGCAACUUCUGGUCUACCCUACCCUAAAGAAAUGACUCUAAGCUAUUUCCAAUGUCAAAGAGAUCGGUGCCAAAACUGAGGGGCACUAACCAAGCUUGGUUAGUCAAUGGCAAGGACAGAUCGGAGGCUUCUUGGCAUCACUUUUGGGAUUUCUUCUGUAUCACAAGUGUGCUGUUCAGUGGAGAGAAGAAAAUGCUGGGGGAUUUUUACCACCCGUCACACAUCAGAUGGUUAUUGUAUGAGAAAAGAUUGCUCUGAGGAUUACUUUGAAGAUAACUGGAAUUAUCAAAGGCUAUAUAAAAACAAAUCAGUAGGAAUAAAAAAGGUAAUCGCACUUCCUAAUAGAGCUCUGAUUUUCCUAGAAGCUCAAAAGAACAAGAAUCUGUGCAAAGGGUUUUCCUUUCCUCUCGUCUUUUGCAUAAACUUCUCUAUUUUCACUGUGAAAGCAGAAGUGGAAAAAUGAGAACGAGGAUAUGUUAACAGUGACCAUGGAAAAAAGAACCACUAAUAGUCUCAUUUGCCUGAUGCUUUGGGAUUGUAGCACCAAAACCUUUCCUGGAACAUAGCAAUCUGCUGUCACUUCACUUAAAGAAAAGAUGAAAGAAAGAAUGGCCUAUAGUAACCUUAGCUCAGUUAGGUCACUCUAAACUUGAACUCAGCUAAAGCACUCAGAGCCUUUCUGAGUACUUUAGUACUAUAGUACUAAUGUAGUACUAAGGUCUACCUUAGCCAGUACUAAUGUGGUACUAAAGUCCACUUUAGGCAGUACACAGUUUUUAAAAAUAAAUUACUUAUUUUUAUUUUAGGUACAUUGGUAAUUUGACCACAUGUAUGUCUGUGUGAGGUUGUCAGAUCCCCUGGAACAGGAGUUAAAGACAAUUGAGAGUUGCCAUGUGGGUGCUGGGAAUUGAACCCAGGUUCUCUGAUAGAGCAGCCAGUGCUCUUAACCACUGAUGCAUCUCUCUAGCCCCAACAAGCACAUAUUUUAACAUUAAUUAAAUGCAUGCACUUUAGCCUCAAAUAAAUUCUAUCUGUAGGCAGUUUCUUAUCACUUUUAAGAUGUUGUAGUAAUAGGGUUCAUUAAAUUCCUCCAGCUUAAGUUCUUUCAUGCACUGGCUAUAGAUUAGGACAACUAUAAAGUUAUCACAAAAGUAACUUCUGAAAAGAGUCAUUAGCCAUAAUCCCUGUAUUUGUGGAAGGCUGAUUGUAUAAAUGGUUUUGAGAGUCAGGAAGGAUACACUGAAAUACAACUGGGGGAGGCAGAGAGGAGAGAGUGCUGAGAGAGUCUAUACAGGAUUCCUGAUGCUGCACUGGCGCCUCUCUCCAGUGAAUGAUAAAGAAGGGCACAGAGAGGAGAGAUGUGGCCAGACAGUUUUACAGCUGGGCUCCAAUCGACAGCUCGUAAGUAAAGCACGACAGGUGGGGCAUAGGAUGAAGGCAAUUUUUAAAUAGCGACACAAAGCUUCUGAAAGAGAGCCCAACCAGCUACAGUCUAGGAGGAGUUCAAGUUAGUAAUGGGGAAAUCUGAUUAUAUGUGCUUUUUUCCUUCUUUGUUUAAAGAAAAAUAAUUAAGCAAAAUAAAUACUUGACCCGUUAUUAAUAAUAGAAUCACAUAGGCCUUUAUGAUAAAGUCAAAGGAGUUCUUCAGAACGUGGAUUGCUUUCUUCGCUUUAAAAAAAAUUCUUUAAAUCGUUUAAAAAUAUCACACAUUUACAUAAUAAAUUUUAGUUGUCUUCAUCCCUCACCCCCUCUCGUUGUCCCUCUCUCCUCUUGGACUUAUUUUCAACAUGUCCCUAUUCUGUUUCAUAUCGUCUUUCUGUGUGUGACUCACUGAGUUUAAUUAACAUUUAUUCCAAUUUCUCUUAGUAAUAUUUUUAAGUAACUGCUACACAUCAAAUAUCAUGUAAACGCUGGCAGUAGUAAUAAGAAGGAUUUUUUUUCUAUUAAGAAGUUGAUAGUCCAGUAUGAAGAAAAAUAUGAAAGUAAAUAUAAAACAUAUAACUAAAAUAAUUAUAAUAAUAAAGAUGUGAAUAAAACUCAAUUAGUUGGAAAUAUAUCCAACUCUGCCUGGAUAUCUAGAGAGUUAAAAGACAGGAAAGAAUUUAUGACAAAGGCAUUUCAUUAAAUGAAUUCCUACAGGACUAGUUGGUAAAACUCAUUUAAGAGAUAACAAUACACUGGGCUUCCUGUGAUUUUUGUAUUCACCUAGUUCUGUCCACUAUACUGAUUUUUUCUCUUUGCUAAAAAUAAAUUUAGCAAAAUUUCAUAAUGCCCGGAAAAAUGCUAGAGACAGGAGAGAUAAUAGAGAUAAGAGAGGCUAUGAAAGAACUAGAGAACUAUAAAAAUUGGUAAAUGCUAUUUGUAUUUUCAAUUUUAAGGGGAACUUCAAUAAAAUGAUUUUUAUGGAUGGGUUGAAAGAAUGAGAGCUGGAGUUAGGCUUUACUUAUUACUAGUUAGGUGAAUUCAGCAAAGCUACGGAACAUCUCUCUUCUUCAAGGUCCUUCAUGUAUAAAUCAGAAUAUUUCAACAAGUUGUGAGCGUGUUGGUGAUUAAUCCCAACCAUCAACUUGAUAGGAUCAAGAUCACUAAGGAGACAAGCCUUUGAGUAUGUCUAUGGGGAAUUAUCUGGAUUGGGUUAAUUGAGGUGUGACGACCUGCCCAUUGUGGGCAUUGCUACUUCCUGGGCUUUGGUCCAAGGAUGAAUAAAAAGGAAGUAAAUACAAGCAUUAAUUACUCUCUGCUUAUCCCACUAAAAUCAGGGACUAGACAAGGC